rnacentral:misc_RNA from 1 species
UAAAGUGCGAUAUGUAGUGCGAUUUGCAUGAAUCUGUGAGUCAUCUAAUCUUUGAACGCAACUUGCGCCUCUCUGAGGCAUGUCUGUUUGAGUGCCGCAUACCUUUUGCAGCAAUGCGAUUUGACCCAUGUCUUUACCGGACUCGGUCUAAACGUAGCCAGAUAGUGGUUUAAUGUUACUAGCCCGAGUGCUAAGCAUUCUUGGUUCUAGUAGCAAAGACCAUGCCAUGAUGCCCAUGUCAUGCAUAAUGAUGUGUUGUCAUUGGCACGCCUUUUUAUUUGGCCUCAAAUCAGGCAAGACUACCCGCUGAACUUAA